UGGGCGUCGAGCGGCGGACGGGUGAGUAAUGCCUAGGAAAUUGCCUUGAUGUGGGGGAUAACCAUUGGAAACGAUGGCUAAUACCGCAUAAUGCCUACGGGCCAAAGAGGGGGAUCUUCGGACCUCUCGCGUCAAGAUAUGCCUAGGUGGGAUUAGCUAGUUGGUGAGGUAAUGGCUCACCAAGGCGACGAUCCCUAGCUGGUCUGAGAGGAUGAUCAGCCACACUGGAACUGAGACACGGUCCAGACUCCUACGGGAGGCAGCAGUGGGGAAUAUUGCACAAUGGGCGAAAGCCUGAUGCAGCCAUGCCGCGUGUAUGAAGAAGGCCUUCGGGUUGUAAAGUACUUUCAGUUGUGAGGAGGGGGUAACGUUAAUAGCGUUAUCUCUUGACGUUAGCAACAGAAGAGCACCGGCUAACUCCGUGCCAGCAGCCGCGGUAAUACGGAGGGUGCGAGCG
rnacentral:rRNA from 1 species